AAGUCGUAACAAGGUUUCCGUAGGUGAACCUGCGGAAGGAUCAUUACAGAGUUCUUGCCCUCACGGGUAGAUCUCCCACCCUUGAUAUCUAUUCUCUUGUUGCUUUGGCGGGACGCAUCUUGCCACAGGCUUCGGCUUGUGAGUGCCCGCCAGAGACCCAACCAAAACCUGUUUAUGUGUCGUCUGAGUACUAUAUAAUAGUUAAAACUUUCAACAACGGAUCUCUUGGUUCUGGCAUCGAUGAAGAACGCAGCGAAAUGCGAUAAGUAAUGUGAAUUGCAGAAUUCAGUGAAUCAUCGAAUCUUUGAACGCACAUUGCGCCCCUUGGUAUUCCGAGGGGCAUGCCUGUUCGAGCGUCAUUUACACCACUCAAGCCUGGCUUGGUAUUGGAGUUCGCACACCAGCGGCUCUUAAACUCAGUGGCGGCGCCGGUUGGCUCUUCGCGUAGUAAUUCUCUCGCGAUAGGGCCCGGCGGUAGCUUGCCAGCAACCCCAAUUUUUUAAGGUUGACCUCGGAUCAGGUAGGGAUACCCGCUGAACUUAAGCAUAUCAAUAAGCGGAGGAAAAGAAACCAACAGGGAUUACCUCAGUAACGGCGAGUGAAGCGGUAACAGCUCAAAUUUGAAAUCUGGCUCUUUUAGGGUCCGAGUUGUAAUUUGUAGAAGAUGCUUCGAGUAUUGGCCCGGUCUAAGUUCCUUGGAACAGGACGUCAUAGAGGGUGAGAAUCCCGUAUGUGAUUGGUGCUCUUGCUCAUGUGAAGCUCUUUCGACGAGUCGAGUUGUUUGGGAAUGCAGCUCAAAAUGGGUGGUGUAUUUCAUCUAAAGCUAAAUAUUGGCCAGAGACCGAUAGCGCACAAGUAGAGUGAUCGAAAGAUGAAAAGCACUUUGGAAAGAGAGUUAAACAGUACGUGAAAUUGUUGAAAGGGAAGCGCUUGCAAUCAGACUUGCAUGCGGUCGAUCAUCCAGGGUUCUCUCUGGUGCACUCGAUCGUAUUCAGGCCAGCAUCGGUUUCGGUGGUGGGAUAAAGGCCUUGGGAAUGUAGCUCCUCUCGGGGAGUGUUAUAGCCCUCGGUGCAAUGCCGCCUACCGGGACCGAGGACCGCGCUUCGGCUAGGAUGCUGGCGUAAUGGUUGUAAGCGACC
rnacentral:rRNA from 1 species